UUAAAUCCAUUUUAGAAUCAGGCUGUAAUGUAACAAAAUGUGGUAAAAAUCAAGGGGUCUGGAUACUUUCAGAAGGCCCUGUACAUACAAUAAGUAUUCACACCCCUGUGUGAAUACUUUGUAGAGGCAUCUUUGACAGUGGUUGAAGCUGUGAGUCUUUCUGGGUGCGAGGCAUUGGAAAACCUCCCUGGUCUUUGUGGUUGAAUCUGUGUUUGAAAUUCACUGCUCGCCCGAGGGACCUUACAGAUAACUGUAUGUGUGGGGAAUAGAGACGAGGACCUGAGCCCUAGGACCAUGCCUCAGGACUACCUGGCAUGAUGACUCCUUGCUGUCCCCAGUCCACCUGGCCGUGCUGCUGCUCCAGUUUCAACUGUUCUGCCUGCGGCUAUGGAAUCCUGACCUGUUCACCAGCUGUGCUACCUGUCCCGUGCUACCUGUCCCCUAUUAUUUGACCAUGCUGGUCAUUUAUGAACAUUUGAACAUCUUGGCCAUGUUCUGUUAUCUCCACCCGGCACAGCCAGAAGAAGACUGGCCACCCCUCAUAGCCUGGUUCCUCUCUAGGUUUCUUCCUAGGUUCUGGCCUUUCUAGGGAGUUUUUCCUAACCAACUUGCUUCAACACCUGCAUUGCUUGCUGUUUGGGGUUUUAGGCUGGGUUUCUGUAAAGCUCUUUGAGAUAUCAGCUGAUGUAUGAAGGGCUAUAUAAAUACAUUUGAUUUGAUUUGAAAUUUGAUUUAA